rfam:Lupinus angustifolius cultivar Tanjil chromosome LG18, whole genome shotgun sequence.
CCGACCUUAGCUCAGUUGGUAGAGCGGAGGACUGUAGUGAGAUAAUAUCUCAAAGAUAUCCUUAGGUCGCUGGUUCGAAUCCGGCAGGUCGGA